UGCCAGUAUUUGGAGAGACUUUAGAUGG
rnacentral:piRNA from 1 species